CCUUGACCAUGUUCAGCAACAUGAGCAGCAGUGUGACACAGGGCCUGUUCGGCAGCAGCUUCACGGCAGCUGCAGCGGCGCCCCCUGCAGGAGCUGAGACGCAGAAGAAGACUGUGGCAGCGCCCUAUGGCAACAUUGGUGCUUGGGCAGAGGAAGUGCUCUACGGAAAGAGGCAAGUGUGCAUGUGUGCUGGGGUGUGUGUGUCUCCUUGAAGCAGGCUGUGUGGGCACCAACAGGCUGCAAUCUACAUUUCACCCAACACAGAUGACGAUGCCGCAUGCACAUGUAUGCAAAUGCACUGAUUGUACAACGAUUUUACUGCAGCAACAUGUAAUACCCUACCCUAUGCACGCAGCUGUCUUUGCGCAUGAAAAAAUAAUCCCCCUUGCAUUUAGAAGUUUGCUUCAGCAGAAGAUCCUGCAGGAAGGUUACAGAAGGUAAAAGAAAUUAAAGAUCGGGGAAUUGCUCAGGCAAGUGGACAUGCAUGCUGUGUGCGUCUGCUUGCGCAACUCCUCAGUCGGGUCUCUUGUCAAAAUGACUGACUUCCAACCUUUUCUAUUGCAUCAAGGCCAGGCUCCCAUGACCAGAUGUGCUUGAACAAACCUGCCUCCAGGAAACUUUGCUCAUCAAGAUUGCUUGCACAUUAGUGCAUUGCUGUUGACAAGUAAGUGAUCCAUACCUACUUGGUGAGGUGUGAUGCAGCAUCGCUGCUGCAUGCCCUCAUGGCAAAAUCCCAUCUUUUGUCACAACAUGUUCAUGGGCAUGGCUCUCGCAUAGAGCCCUGGCCAGCCCGCUUGUCAUGAAUGCUUAAUUGACCUGGCUGGCCAACCUUCAGUGACCCUCCGCCUGCUCCAUCCAUUGCACAGCCUCUGAGGCCUUUCUUGGUGCAAGUGCUAGUGCAAGCUGUGUUUAGUCGACCCGACAGGCCAUCCUGCGGCGAUUCGUGGCCUGCUCCAUCCAGUGCACAGCCUCUGAGGCCCUUCUUGAAUGCAAGUGCUAGUGCAAGCUGUGAUUGGUUGACCUGGAGGACCAUCCUGCAGCAAUUCUUGGCCGGCUCAACCCAUUGCACAGCCACUGAGGCCUCUCUGGAGUGCAAGCGCUAGUGCAAGCUGUUGUUAGUUGACCUGGCAAGCCAUUCUUCAGUGACCCAGGGCACAGCCUAUGAGGCCUUCCUGAGUGCAAGUGCUAGUGCAAGCUGUUAUUAGUUGACCUGGCAAGCCAUUCUUCAGUGACCCAGGGCACAGCCUCUGAGGCCUUUCUUGUAAGCAAACGCUAGUGCAAGCUGUUAUUAGUUGACCUGGCAAGCCAUUCUUCAGUGACCCAGGGCACAGCCACUGAGGCCUUUCUUGAGUGCAUGCGCUAGUGCAAGCUGUUGUUAGCCGACCUGGCAAGCCAUUCUUCAGUGACCCAGGGCACAGCCACUGAGGCCUCCCUGAGCGCGAGUGCCUGCACUGUGCAAACUAUAGACCACUUUGUUGACUGAGGCGUGAAUCAGCUUCCUUCCAAGUCCUUUCCAUCCAAGUUUCCUGCAUUGUUGUGUUCCAGUGUCGUAAGGGAGAGUGAUGAUGCACUGUGGAACCCACUGUCAGCUGCACCUUGUCACCCCUGUCGUAUCCAGUGCUUACUUUUGUUACCAACCUUGUGGCCGUGGUUGCAGGAUCAUAAAUUAAUGCCUUACGCUGUGCAGACGAAAGGGCUUGCUUGUUUGGAUCUGCCGUUCCCAUUUUUGGACUGUGCAGGCAAAUGACAGCUUGCCUUCUCAGGACCCCCCUUCACACUAUUCCUAAUUGCAUGGAGUCCGUGUCAAGGGUUGUUUGUACGGCGCUGAGAGCAAGGCCACUCGGCUUACGAUGAAAUUGGUGCAGUUCAGGGAUCCUAUUCCUGGACUGUGGCAAUUCACAGCUUGCCUGCUAAGGGAUUGGGUUUAGAUUCUUGGACUGCACGGGCACAUGACAGCUUGCCUUCAUAUUCCCCAUUUCUAUACUUUCCAUGUUUUCCACCCAUUCUUCUUACAGGUCACAGGGUACAUGAAGAGCCAUCUGUCCAGCGUACGACUGCCAGGCUAAAUCGUCUCACAGACCAGGCCAUGCUUCUCAUGGACAGGUGCAGCUCUCCACUGAUCUCCCCUUCCCUUUCCUUGCCUGUGCCUGGGCAGGGGUGUUGGUGCGUACGCUGUGGACCACACCGGCACGCUGAAGAGCAAGACAGCCUCCGGCCUCAGCAUCACCGGCACAACCACCAGGUGAGUGCUGGAUUGAGCCUCAAUGCGGGCUCUGCGAUACUUGGAGCCUGAAGAGCAAGGCAGCCUUCUGGCCUCAGCAUCACUGGCACAAUUUCCAGGUGACGCUGGGAGCUGUGAUUUGGUGCUCUGCAUUACUCCUUGAAAUCCUGCCCUGACCAACUAAAUGCACAACCAGCCAAUCUGCUGGUGGGCCAUAGCAGAAUUCCAGGGACCAUGGACUGCCUGUGUUUUAUGUUCCCAUUCUAGAUUUUCCACGUGGUAUAUUGUCCUGGGGGUGGGAUUUGUGAUGCCCCCUUACUUGUGUGAAGUUGUGCAUACCUGGCUGUGAGAGCGCACACGGGUGCAUGUGCGCAUGCGCGCGCGCGCGCACAUUCACACACACACACACACACACACACACACACACACACACACACAUACACGCACACACGCAUACACACACACGCGCGCACAUAAACACACUGAGUGUCCUCACCUAAAAGCCAGUGACAUUUGUUUAGCAAUCGGCGUUGGCCUAUGCCGGUACAUAUUGUGUUGCGCUAAAUAGCGCUAUACAAUUUUGGAGUAUAGCACGUGCUAAAAUUGAGUACAGCAAAAAAAUCAACAGCACAUCCGUCGUGCUCGAUUCUGUGUCGCACAUCCCAGUCAAAUGACCAACUGGCCACUGGCUUUGAAAUUUUGUAUGCAUAUAUGCAACAAGGCGAGCGCUGGGGAAGGGCAAGGAGCGUGGACUCAGAGGAGAGACCACACACACACACACACACACACACACACACACACACACACACACACACACACGCACACAAGCUUUCAUGGUAGUCAUGUGAGCACAUCUGCAGGGCCGCAGCCCCCUGCCUGAGCAGGUAUAGCGCUAUGUUUUGGCUAGAUCAUGCCCAAAGCUCGGCAGAGUUCAUCUCUGAGUAUCAAGUUGUGCAAGGAGAAGGGGCAUUGUGCACCAUCCCCCACCAUCUCCCACCAGCUUGCCGGUUCUGAUGGCCAAGUCUGAUGCCGAAGCUCGACUUGCAAGGGGGGUGUCUGGUGAAAUAUAGCAUUUUAAUAUAGUGCAAUAUAGCACUGUAUUGCUUUGUAGCGCUAUAUAGCGCUGUAGGGUUGGCUCAUAUAACGCUACAUGCCGAUUUCUACAUUUUUAAUUUAUAACGUAAUUUGUAAUGCCAUGAUUUGUGCAUAAAUGAAGCGGCAUGACAUGAGCUUUGGGUACGAGCUGUGAGACAGCUAGCCACCUGGGGAAGUAUCCACACUACAGGAGACCUGCCAGCCUGAAGGCCUGAAAGCCUGAAGGCAGCUAGCCGCCAAGGGAAGAGUUCAUGCUAUGGAAGGCCUACUAACUGAAAUGCACGGUGCUUCUAUGAACGCCAUGUUUUGUGCGCGUGCUCAACAGGAGUGGCGCAACCGGCGCAGUGAGCAC
rnacentral:lncRNA from 1 species